AUGGAUCAGGAGCUGAUCGAGCACCUUGAGGCCAAAGUGAGUGCUGACAGCGCGAGAUCUCACCCUCUCAUCGAUUUAUUCAUACCAACCAUCGACAGCGAGCACGACAUAUGCUACACCCAACCUGAGAAACUUCCAGGUAUCACACUGAGUGGCCUAAGGAAGCAUUUCUUCCAGCACAAUUCCAGGGCGUUCAAAAGGGGCACAUGGACGUGUCGCAAGAUACAUUUGGAGUGUGGCAUGCACGCGAUGUGGCACAAGACCGGCAAUACCUUGCCGGUGAUGGUUAACGGCCGGCAGACUAGCAGCAAAAAGGUUCUGGUGAUGCACACCAACAAGAACUUCGACCAGCAAAGGACCAACUAG
rnacentral:rRNA from 1 species